rnacentral:rRNA from 1 species
ACACAUGCAAGUCGAGGGGAAACGACAUCGAAAGCUUGCUUUUGAUGGGCGUCGACCGGCGCACGGGUGAGUAACGCGUAUCCAACCUGCCCACCACUUGGGGAUAACCUUGCGAAAGUAAGACUAAUACCCAAUGACGUCUCUAGAAGACAUCUGAAAGAGAUUAAAGAUUUAUCGGUGAUGGAUGGGGAUGCGUCUGAUUAGCUUGUUGGCGGGGUAACGGCCCACCAAGGCAACGAUCAGUAGGGGUUCUGAGAGGAAGGUCCCCCACAUUGGAACUGAGACACGGUCCAAACUCCUACGGGAGGCAGCAGUGAGGAAUAUUGGUCAAUGGACGAGAGUCUGAACCAGCCAAGUAGCGUGCAGGAUGACGGCCCUAUGGGUUGUAAACUGCUUUUAUAAGGGAAUAAAGUGAGUCUCGUGAGACUUUUUGCAUGUACCUUAUGAAUAAGGACCGGCUAAUUCCGUGCCAGCAGCCGCGGUAAUACGGAAGGUCCGGGCGUUAUCCGGAUUUAUUGGGUUUAAAGGGAGCGUAGGCCGGAGAUUAAGCGUGUUGUGAAAUGUAGACGCUCAACGUCUGCACUGCAGCGCGAACUGGUUUCCUUGAGUACGCACAAAGUGGGCGGAAUU